GUCUCUGUAUCGCAAUGGAUAGCGUGUUGAACUUUUGAUUCAAAGGUCGUGAGUUCGAAUCUCACCUGGGUUG